AUUGGAGGGCAAGUCUGGUGCCAGCAGCCGCGGUAAUUCCAGCUCCAAUAGCGUAUAUUAAAAUUGUUGCAGUUAAAAAGCUCGUAGUUGAAUUUCUGCUGCAUUACAUAUCUCUUGUUUGAGUUUGUUUUUGUGGCUUAUUUCGGUUUGAUUUUUUCUUUCCGGAUGAUUACUUUGAGAAAAUUAGAGUGCUCAAAGCAGGCUUUUGCCUUGAAUAGUUUAGCAUGGAAUAAUAAAGUAGGACUUUGGUUCUAUUUUGUUGGUUUUAGGUACCAAAGUAAUGGUUAAUAGGAACAGUUGGGGGCAUUCGUAUUUAACUGUCAGAGGUGAAAUUCUUAGAUUUGUUAAAGACGAACUACUGCGAAAGCAUUUGCCAAGGAUGUUUUCAUUAAUCAAGAACGAAAGUUAGGGGAUCGAAGACGAUCAGAUACCGUCGUAGUCCU
rnacentral:rRNA from 1 species